GGGAUGGGUCAUGGCACAGCGGUAGAGCAUUUGCUUUGCAUGCAGAAGGUCUCUGGUUCAAUCCUGAGCCUCCCCA
rnacentral:tRNA from 1 species